UACGGAGGAGGCAAGCGUUAUCCGGAAUUAUUGGGCGUAAAGCGUCCGCAGGUGGCACUUCAAGUCUGUCGUCAAAGACUGGGGCUUAACCCUGGAAAGGCGGUGGAAACUGAAGCGCUAGAGCGCGGUAGGGGUAGAGGGAAUUCCCGGUGUAGCAGUGAAAUGCGUAGAGAUCGGGAAGAACAUCGGUGGCGAAAGCGCUCUACUGGACCGCAACUGACACUCAGGGACGAAAGCUAGGGGAGCGAAUGGG
rnacentral:rRNA from 1 species